GGUCCAACGCUCGAUAAUUUCAUGAUAUAAAACCCGGAAAAGAAACCCGAAUCAUAACGAAGAAGUUAAAAACAUUUUGGAGAUAGACAGGAGGGCAACUGAAACGGAGGCGGGUCGAGAUCCGGCGAAGGCACGUCGUCCGUUUUCGUCCACUGCAUUCACAUAGAUCUCGCUUCGCAUCAUUCAACGUCGUCUAGAUGAAAGGCUCUUGUACUCUCGUCGCAUCGGUGGUCGCCGCUUCCACCGCUGCGCUCUCCUCACGUGCCGCCGGUGGUCGUGAUGUAACAUUCAAUUCUUCCUCCCGUCAGGCUACUCCGACAAAUUCACUUAUCGCAUCAUCGGAGAAGAAUAAAUUUGCGCCGAGGUUCGAUGGGCUGAGGUUCAUAGAGACACUGGUCACGGCCCACAGGUGACCGUAACUAAUUGUGAUUGUGAGCCGCGAAUGGUUUGUAAGAUUGGAAAGAAUAGCAAUUUACAUUAUUAAGGCUAUUUUUAUCUUGCGUUUGUGUGUGAAAUGUCGUUGAUUUUAGGUGGUUUCGUUGGCUGGGAUAAUAGAAAAUUGAGCAAGCUCUAGUUUGUAAUUUUAUUAUUUUUUUUUUCUCAUUAAAAAUUGUUACUAAUUGGUACCACAUGAAAAUUUUUCAAGCUAGUUGAAAGUUGGGACUAUGAAUGUGUCUCCUUGGGAUA